rnacentral:rRNA from 1 species
AGAGUUUGAUCCUGGCUCAGGAUGAACGCUAGCGGCAGGCCUAACACAUGCAAGUCGAGGGGUAUAGAUAGCUUGCUAUUUAGAGACCGGCGCACGGGUGAGUAACGCGUAUGCAACCUACCUUCUACAGGGGAAUAGCCCGAAGAAAUUCGGAUUAAUGCCCCAUGGUUUAAUUUGAUGGCAUCAUUAGAUUAGUAAAGAUUUAUCGGUAGAAGAUGGGCAUGCGUAUCAUUAGCUAGUUGGUGUGGUAACGGCAUACCAAGGCAACGAUGAUUAGGGGUCCUGAGAGGGAGAUCCCCCACACUGGUACUGAGACACGGACCAGACUCCUACGGGAGGCAGCAGUGAGGAAUAUUGGUCAAUGGAGGCAACUCUGAACCAGCCAUGCCGCGUGCAGGAUGACGGUCCUAUGGAUUGUAAACUGCUUUUAUACAGGAAGAAACAUUGCUACGUGUAGCGACUUGACGGUACUGUAAGAAUAAGGAUCGGCUAACUCCGUGCCAGCAGCCGCGGUAAU